rnacentral:rRNA from 1 species
GAUGAACGCUAGCGGCAGGCCUAAUACAUGCAAGUCGAACGGUGUAGCAAUACACAGUGGCGCACGGGUGCGUAACACGUAUGCAACCUACCUUACAUUGGGGGAUAGCCUUUCGAAAGGGAGAUUAAUACCGCAUAAGACAGUAACUAGGCAUCUAGUAGCUGUUAAAGAUUUAUCGAUGUAAGCUGGGCAUGCGUCCAAUUAGUUAGUUGGUGAGGUAAUGGCUCACCAAGACGAUGAUUGGUAGGGGAACUGAGAGGUCAAUCCCCCACACUGGCACUGAGAUACGGGCCAGACUCCUAAGGGAGGCAGCAGUAGGGAAUAUUGGGCAAUGGGCGCAAGCCUGACCCAGCCAUGCCGCGGGCAGGAAGAAGGCGUUAUGCGUUGUAAACUGCUUUUAUACAGGAAGAAACGACCCUUGCGAGGGGCAUUGACGGUACUGUAUGAAUAAGCACCGGCUAACUCCGUGCCAGCCGCCGCAGUAACAC